rnacentral:rRNA from 1 species
CCUACGGGUGGCUGCAGUGGGGAAUAUUGGGCAAUGGGCGAAAGCCUGACCCAGCAACGCCGCGUGAAGGAAGAAGGCUUUCGGGUUUUAAACUUCUUUUGACAGGGAAGAGCAGAAGACGGUACCUGUCGAAUAAGCCACGGCUAACUACGUGCCAGCAGCCGCGGUAAUACGUAGGUGGCAAGCGUUAUCCGGAUUUACUGGGUUUAAAGGGCGUGUAGCCGGGCUGACAAGUCAGAUGUGAAAUCCGGGGGCUCAACCCCCGAACUGCAUUUGAAACUGUUGGUCUUGUGAAUAGGGGAGGCAGGCGGAAUUUCUGGUGUAGCGGUGAAAUGCGUAGAGAUUAGGAAGAACACC